ensembl:lncRNA
AGGUACUCCUGUGGUUUUUCGAUGAUGCAGACAUCUGAUGUCUAGCUAAAUUGGGAGUUUGGCGAGUUUAUGUUCCAGCAACAAACAGCAAGGGGGAAGACAGAGCAUAGAGACUGGCACCACCUUUUACCUACUUCCAUCUGAAAGUGACAUUUAUCGAUUCUGCUUACAAUUCAUUGGUUAAAGCAAGUCCUGUGGCCACACCUAACUUCAAAAAGGCACGGAAGUGAGCUCAUCCUUCAAUGCAGGACUCGGGGCUGAAACACCUCUAAAUGUACAGUUUGACAAGCACCGUCUGCCUUACCACAGGGCUUCCUGUUUCAGAUGGUCAGAGUUCCUUCUGUCGACAGGACUCAAAAGCCUUCAAGGGAAAGUUUGCUUCCGUUGAGAAGUCAUUUUGGUGUGGCCUUUACGACCCUAGAGCAUCAAGGUUAUAAACUUAGGCUCUUGACUCGCACAGAGGCUCCGUCACUUCCUGUGUGUGAAGCUGUAUAGCCUCCUUGUGUCUCUGUCUCCUUCUCCAUACAAUGGAGGUAAUAACAGCACCAAUCUCAGGGGCCUGCUGUGGGGAUGAAAUGAGGCCACGUGUGUUGCCCUGUAAGCACAUCAUUUAGGUUUGCUGAAGCCUUAUCGGAUCCUUCCGUCUGAGACAGACUGCGACCUGCGACCCUCUACCAGAGCAACACAAUACAAAGAAACUAUAAGGGAGUAAAACAUAACUUCAGGCAUGCUCAGUCAGGGAAAUUAUGAACAAUAAGAUACAAAAAGGCCACAAACCUUCUAGCCAUUUCUGAGAUGCUAGGAGCCAAAGCAGGAUGAGCCUUGAGC